UUGGAAACUUUUGAGUUUUUUUUUUAUUGUUUGAACAAAACCAAACAAACAAUGAAAAAAUUGUUUGAAAUUGUUUGACUUUUGUUCAAACAAACCCAAGCAAGAAAAAAAAAUUUAUUUAUUUACUCGAGCAAAAAUUUACUUGAUUAAUCGAAAAUUGCUUGAACAAAAUUUGCUUGUGCACAUCACUGAAUUGGACGUUUUCUGUCUUUUGAGGAAGAAUGGACUAAAUCUGGCGUCUCAUGUGAUCACUAUCCUUAAACAACUAAGAUAUAACAACUAGGGAAACCACGAGCAUAUCGGGAUGCUUUUUUGCCAAUCGGGGAUCACAUUUCGUGGCAUCGGGGCGGGGAGUUCGGGCCUCAAUCGGAAUACGUAAUCAGCGAUGCAAACCCGAUUGCCACUAAUCGACUUGCGAUAAAAACGAAUCGAUCGAGUAUUUCGAUCCCAUAGACCUCUUUCACCGUGCGGAUAGCAGGAUUCCUGUAGUCCGGCAUAGUGGUGGCAAUACUAGGUAGUAUUACCUAGUUUUUUUUUCUCUACUUUUACCUAGUUUUUGGUCCAUUUUUCUACCUAGAAAUUACCUAGUAAUAGUAAUACCUAGUUUUUAAAAAUGAUUACCUAGAUAAUUACCUAUGUAAUUUUGAUUUUUAUGCAGCGUUGUCAAAAUAAUGGCAACGAUGUUUUUUAUUCAUUUUUAUGUGACACACUUGAUAUUUCUUUGUGCAGGCUGCUCAACGUUUUUUCGCGCCCACAGUCCCUCACCACGUUUUAUCUCUCACAGUUUCACCACGUUUUCUUCAAGAUUUUUCACUACAAAUUUUAGACUAACUAACUAUUACUUUGCCAAUCACAGUUCACACAGAGAUCUUACUGUCUGGUUCUGAUUCAGAGCAUACACAGCUCUUCAAACGAAGGAGACUUGUUGACACUCCAUGUCCAGCCAUGCGUUGCAAUACAAGUCUCGUAGAAUUAAAAAUGGAGAUUAAGGAUUACUUGGAUAUAUUGGACAAGGGAGAGUUCGAUGCGGAAAUUGACCCUAGGGCAGGGAGGUUUUCCAAUCUGUCUGGAAUAGCAUUUCAAUAUCUGACCAUGCCAGCAACGUCUGCAUCCGCAGAGCGACUUUUUUCUUGCAGUGGGCUUUCUUGCAAAGGCAAAAAAACAAACGUGUCAUCAGUUUUACUAGAAUCGCAAACGCUUUUCAGAUUCAAUAAGAAAUUUGACAUAAACCCUUAAUCUGUUUUCUUCUUUUCAGUAAUUCAAAUAAGUGAAUACAAAGAGAUUCAAAAUCGAAGUCUAUGGUAAUUUUUUAUUUGGUAUGGGUACUGCAGCUUACAUUUGAUUUUUUGGGAAAUUAAACAUUUUUGAAGAACCUAGUUUAAAAGUUGUACCUAGUUUGAAUUUUGAAACUAGGUACCUAAAUAACUAGGUAAUUACCUAGUUAAAAAUUUUACCUAGUUUUUUAAAGUACUUUUACUAGUACCUAGUACCUAGUUUUUUUUUGCAAUUACCGUACCUAGUUUUUGUGAAAACUAGGUAAAUAACCUAGUAAUACCUAGUUUUGUAAAAAAAACUUGGUAUUUUACCUAGUAAUACCUAGUAACAAAAAAAAAAACUUGGUUGCCACCACUAGUCCGGCAACGGCGUAUCCUCCAUUUUUUUUCCAGUCAUACCCUGUUUUGCUGGCAUUUGAAUAGGGAAACAAGUUUAGCAUUAAAAAUUCUCCUCUCAGUUAAAUUUUUAUGUGUUUCAGUGCAUUGGAUAACUAGCACCAUCAUCUGGGGCUAUCCAAAUGUAAACAAGAAAAUUCAAAACAACACUAAAUGAAUAGGAAUGUCAAAUGAGAACAUGGAAGAACUUGUCUAUGAUGCUGUCAUAGAAUUGUUUGAUUUAUCCAGUUACUCUUCAACGUUACCAAGAUGCUAAAGAAAGAUACCUGUCGAAGCUCAAUGAUGUAAGAUGUGAUUGCCAAUACAGCAUCGAGAAUGGAUACUGGACAUCACAUAAGGAGUUUGAGCAUGUUUUACCAUCAGUUGAAUUUGGUGACAUCUGGCAUUACCUCGUAUACCGAAACAACUUUUACACAGCAGGUGAAAUGAAGAAUUACAAAAGCUGCAAAUCCUACGAAAUACUUGUUGGCGAUGGAUUGUUUUUUUUACUUUAGGGUAUUAAAACUAGGUAAUGGGAAUGUUUUGGCACAGGCAAAAGUGCACCACUCUAUGGCAUUUAAUCUGCCACCAUUGAGACCCUGUGUGGCAUUUAAUUCUGCUGGCGGUGUCAUUACUGCACAUUGCGAUUGCAUUGCUGGUCUCGGAGAAUGCUGCAGUCACGUAGGCGCGAUCCUCUUUGGAGCUCAAGCUGUUGAUUUAUACUCUUACUCUAGUAUUGGAUUAAAAACGGGCCAGAAAAAUGUCAGCACCACGACGAUAAGUCUAAUUUUGAGGCAUCCUUGCAAAAAUUUUUUGACCAAAAUAGAAAAUUUUCGAAAGGUUUUUUUUACCGAGUACUUCAAACGGAUCAGAAAAACAUUAAUCAGUUUAAGUUUUGCG